GGAUGCGAUCAUACCAGCACUAAUGCACCGGAUCCCAUCAGAACUCCGAAGUUAAGCGUGCUUUGGGCGAGAGUAGUACUAGGAUGGGUGACCCCUGGGAAGUCCUCGUGUUGCAAUCC
rnacentral:rRNA from 1 species